rnacentral:rRNA from 1 species
AUUGAACGCUGGCGGCAGGCCUAACACAUGCAAGUCGAGCGGAGCGGCGGACGGGUGAGUAAUGCCUAGGAAUCUGCCUGGUAGUGGGGGAUAACUACGCGAAAGCGUAGCUAAUACCGCCUACUAUUGGAGCGGCCGAUAUCGGAUGAGCUAGUUGGUGGGGUAACGGCUCACAAAGGCGACGGUCCUUAGCUGGUUUGAGAGGACGACCAGCCACACUGGGACUGAGACACGGCCCAGACUCCUACGGGAGGCAGCAGGGGGGAAUUUUGGACAAUGGGGGAAACCCUGAUCCAGCCAUGCCGCGUGUGCGAUGAAGGCCUUCGGGUUGUAAAGCACUUUUGGCAGGAAAGCGGUACCUGCAGAAGAAGCACCGGCUAACUACGUGCCAGCAGCCGCGGUAAUUC